CACAGAACAGUCUACUGACAUAUUUCCAGUCACCUGUUUAACCAAAUAAACUUAUGAUAUAGGUAUUAUUGGAGAAUCCCUUUCAUCUUGGCUCUCCUAUUGAAGUUGCUAGAACCUGUGUCUCUAAACUUUACAUGUGUAUAGUACCUUGCAUCUUGCCUUUUAGAGCUCCUUUCAUGUCGCUGUAAUUAAUGGCUUAUAUGAUAGUUUUCCUAAGUAGGAUGUGAGUUCCAGGAACAAAGGGAACAAGGAAUUAUAUUUCUUAUGCCUCACAGAUGUUCCGGAACUCAAUAAAUGGGGAAAUGGUUCAUCAAUCAAUCAGUGAAUGAAUAGUGUAUAAGCAUAGUAAAGCACUAUGCUGGUACCGUAUAAUACUCAAACAUACAUUCACAUACCCAGAGAGAGUGAGAAAUAGAGGUGGAGCCAGCUGAGAGAAUCAACAGUUUGUAGUUUGUUAUUGGUCCUAAAAUUUCUGCCGUUAGAUUAAUUUCUUCAGGUUCUGUUUCUAGAAACUCCUGAGAAAACACAAAUUUGAUCAGCUUGAUGAAGAUUGUGAAUAUCAGAGAGCAGGUUGGAGUGGUCAUGCUUUUUGGCCAUGUGGAACCUUCCAGUGGCUUUCUUAUGUUUGUGGAAUUCCUCCACUUUUAACUCAGAAGCCAGAAUCUCACCUUUCCAGUUACUCUCGCAGCCAUGGUGCAGAGACUCCACGUUCAGCUGCAACCACUCAACCCACGUGGAGUCCAUUCUGGAAAUCUAAAUCAAGCGGGGAAUAAGAAAACAUCUUGACUGAAUUCUUCAGAGAGCAUCUGAAUUGGACUCCACUUCUGAUCCUGUCGGCCUCUCUCUAAGGCAUAAAACAAUGCCCUAAAGAUUCUAUUGGCAAAGUCACCUGCCACAGUUGAGACUCCUGGGGGAGGAUGGGAUAGAACCAUUCUUCCAUUUCAGGGAUACUCCUUAUCAUACUUGUGUAACCAGUCAAGGAUGGUCUACGCUACAUGCUUUUGACACUUAAAGUAUUUUGAUCCAGCAGAAACAGGACAACUAGAAGCUGCAGGCCCAGUUCACUGCCCCCUGUUGGAGCUGCAUUCACGCUGCAGACAGAUGUUCCCAUGUCAUCACACUCAGUGACAACUCUACAGUUGCAGCGUGGAGAGUGGAUGAAGGAAAAGAGAUAGGUGAACCAAGGGGAAAAAAACAAAACAAA